rnacentral:tRNA from 1 species
GGGCGGUUAGCUCAGUUGGGAGAGCGCCUGCCUUACAAGCAGGAUGUCGGGGGUUCAAGUCCCUCACCGCCCA